GAUCAUGGCUCAGGAUGAACGCUAGCUACAGGCUUAACACAUGCAAGUCGAGGGGCAGCAUAGAAGAAGCUUGCUUCUUCUGAUGGCGACCGGCGCACGGGUGCGUAACGCGUAUCAAACCUGCCUCAUACUCGGGGAUAGCCUUGCGAAAGUAAGAUUAAUACCCGAUGUUGUCAUGUUUCCGCAUGGUGAUAUAACCAAAGAUUUAUCGGUAUGAGAUGGUG
rnacentral:rRNA from 1 species